rnacentral:rRNA from 1 species
UUAGAUACCCUUGUAGUCCACGCAGUAAACGAUGAAUACUAGCUGUUCGGGGCAAAUGAGCCUUGAGUGGCACAGCGAAAGCGUUAAGUAUUCCACCUGGGGAGUACGCCGGCAACGGUGAAACUCAAAGGAAUUGACGGGGGCCCGCACAAGCGGAGGAACAUGUGGUUUAAUUCGAUGAUACGCGAGGAACCUUACCCGGGCUCAAACGCAACCGGAAUGUAUCUGAAAGGGUACAGCUCUACGGAGUCGGUUGCGAGGUGCUGCAUGGUUGUCGUCAGCUCGUGCCGUGAGGUGUCGGCUUAAGUGCCAUAACGAGCGCAACCCCUAUCGACAGUUGCUAACGAGUGAAGUCGAGGACUCUGUCGAGACUGCCGGCGCAAGCUGUGAGGAAGGCGGGGAUGACGUCAAAUCAGCACGGCCCUUACGUCCGGGGCGACACACGUGUUACAAUGGCGACUACAGCGGGAAGCCACUUGGCGACAAGGAGCGGAACCCGAAAAGUCGUCUCAGUUCGGAUUGGAGUCUGCAACUCGACUCCAUGAAGCUGGAUUCGCUAGUAAUCGCGCAUCAGCCAUGGCGCGGUGAAUACGUUCCCGGGCCUUGUACACANCCGCCGUCAAGCCAUGGAAGCCGGGGGUGCCUUGAGUGCGUGACCGCAAGGAGCGCCCCUAAGUAAAACCGGUGACUGGAGCUAAGUCGUAACAAGGUAAC